AGUGAACGCUGGCGGUAGGCCUAACACAUGCAAGUCGAACGGUAACGCGGGGCAACCUGGCGACGAGUGGCGAACGGGUGAGUAAUGCAUCGGAACGUGCCCAGUAGUGGGGGAUAGCCCGGCGAAAGCCGGAUUAAUACCGCAUACGACCUACGGGUGAAAGCGGGGGACCGUAAGGCCUCGCGCUGUUGGAGCGGCCGAUGUCGGAUUAGGUUGUUGGUGGGGUAAAGGCCUACCAAGCCGACGAUCCGUAGCUGGUCUGAGAGGACGACCAGCCACACUGGGACUGAGACACGGCCCAGACUCCUACGGGAGGCAGCAGUGGGGAAUUUUGGACAAUGGGGGCAACGCUGAUCCAGCCAUGCCGCGUGCGGGAAGAAGGCCUUCGGGUUGUAAACCGCUUUUGUCGGGGAAGAAAUCUUCUGAGCUAAUACCUCGGGAGGAUGACGGUACCCGAAGAAUAAGCACCGGCUAACUACGUGCCAGCCGCCGCAGUAA
rnacentral:rRNA from 1 species